rnacentral:rRNA from 1 species
AGCAGCCGCGGUAAUUCCAGCUCCAAUAGCGUAUAUUAAAGUUGUUGCAGUUAAAAAGCUCAUAGUUGAAUUUCGGGGUUCCACCGUUGGUCGGGCUAUUGUCUAUACUGGUGUGUGGAAUUUCUACCUUCUGGGGAACUAUCAUGUUAUUAAUUUAGCGUGGUAGGAAACCAGGACCUUUACCUUGAAAAAAUUAGAGUGUUCAAAGCAGGCUUAUGUCUGAAUACAUUAGCAUGGAAUAAUAAAAUAGGACGGUGGUCCUGUUUUGUUGGUUUCUGAAUCACCGUAAUGAUUAAUAGGGAUAGUUGGGGGCAUUAGUAUUCAAUUGUCAGAGGUGAAAUUCUUGAAUUUAG